rnacentral:tRNA from 1 species
CAAGAAAUAGUUUAAUUAAAAUAUUAACUUUGGGAGUUAACGAUAAAGAGGUUUCUUUUUUCUUGA